CCAGACUCCUACGGGAGGCAGCAGUGAGGAAUAUUGGUCAAUGGGCGCGAGCCUGAACCAGCCAAGUCGCGUGAGGGAUGACGGCCCUACGGGUUGUAAACCUCUUUUGUCGGGGAGCAAAGAGAGUCACGUGUGGCUCAUUGAGAGUACCCGAAGAAAAAGCAUCGGCUAACUCCGUGCCAGCAGCCGCGGUAAUACGGAGGAUGCGAGCGUUAUCCGGAUUUAUUGGGUUUAAAGGGUGCGCAGGCGGAGGUGCAAGUCAGUGGUCAAAUUGCGGGGCUCAACCCCGUACUGCCGUUGAAACUGCAUCCCUUGAGUGCGCGAGAAGUAUGCGGAAUGCGUGGUGUAGCGGUGAAAUGCAUAGAUAUCACGCAGAACUCCGAUUGCGAAGGCAGUUCACUGGACUGCAACUGACACUGAGGCUCGAAAGUGUGGGUAUCAAACAGGAUUAGAUACCCUAGUACUA
rnacentral:rRNA from 1 species